rnacentral:rRNA from 1 species
UCUGGAGGCGCGGUCCCGCGGGCCGGAAAAACCGAGCAGGGCUUCCCGAGACCGGGGCCGUUCGGCUGCGUGUCUCCGUGCCGCCAGACGCAUUUGUCUCUCGUCCGAAGGACGCCGCAGCCGGUUGGGCAGCGCAAGCGUGACGGCCUGAGGGGCGGAAGAUGGCAGGUGACCAGCGGCGCGCUUCCGCGCUUCGCUGGUUGUUAGCCGUUCCGUCAGUGGCUCGUCGCCCGACCGAGGUGUCGCGAGGCCAAUAAUUUGGCCCCAUCGCCUCCUCCAACGAAGUCGUGACAGGGCGCGGCAAGUGAAGGCUGCCCUCCGUCGCACUCUUACGGAGUGGGCGGUCGAGCAGUCGGCUCUGUUAGCCGCGACGGGCACGUCGGAGGUCGGCGGCUCGCGGCGAGUAGGUCGGUCACCCACCCGACCCGUCUUGAAACACGGACCAAGGAGUCUAACAUGUGCGCGAGUCAAUGGGUCUUGAACAGGCCCAGGGGCGCAAUGAAAGCAAAGGUCGGCUCCCGUCGACCGAGUUGGGAUCCCCUGUCUUCUGACCGGGGCGCACCAACGACCCGUCCUGUGCUGUUCGCAGCUCGGGCGGAGUCUGAGCGCACACGUUGGGACCCGAAAGAUGGUGAACUAUGCCCGGACAGGACGAGGCCAGAGGAAACUCUGGUGGAGGUCCGCAGCGGUUCUGACGUGC